CUACGGGAUGCACCAGUUAGGAAUUUUUUACAAUGCGCGCAAGCGUGAUAAAGUGAGCCAGAGUGCUUUCCAAUUGGAAAGCUUUUGCCAAAUGCAAAAAGUUUGGCGAAUAAGGACUGGGUAAGACUAGUGCCAGCCGCCGCGGUAAUACUAGCGGUCCAAGUCGCAGCCAUUUUUAUUGGGUCUAAAACAUCCGUAGCUUGUUAAACAAGUUCUCUGUGAAAUCUUGUCUCUCAAGGUCAGGGCGAGCAGGGAAUACUAUUUGACUAGAGACUGGAAGACGUAAGAAGUAUGAUCAAAGUAGUGGUAAAAUACUUUAAUCUUGAUCAGACUACCAAUAGCGAAGGCAUCUUACGAGGACAGUUCUGACAGUAAAGGAUGAAGGCUAGGGGCGCAAAACGGAUUAGAUACCCCUGUAGUC
rnacentral:rRNA from 1 species